rnacentral:lncRNA from 1 species
ACUACACUUGCUGCUUUGAAGGAUGAAGUUGUAUCUGUUGAAAAUGAACUCUCAGAAUUGCAAGAAGUAGAAAAAAAACAGAAAACCCUUAUUGAAAUGUAUAAAACUCAGGUACAAAAGUUGCAAGAAGCAGCUGAAAUAGUAAAAAGCAGAUGUGAAAAUUUGCUACAUAAAAAUAACCAAAUAACAAAAACCAAAAAUAAAAAUGUAGAGAAGGAUUGAGAAGUCAGAGCAAGGCAAUAAUGUGAAGAAGAGGUCAGCCAGAGCAAGCGUCCUCCAGUUAUACAGACAUAAAGAUAGCUCACUGAAUGCACAACUUACUGCUUUCAUGGAAUUACUUUUCACCUAUUUUUAGCAGGCCAGCGAAUAAACCAUUUCAUGU